CGUAGGUGGCAAGCGUUGUCCGGAUUUACUGGGCGUAAAGAGCGCGCAGGCGGUCGAAUGAGUCGCGUGUGAAAGCCCCCGGCUCAACUGGGGAGGGUCACGCGAUACUGUUCGACUCGAAGGCAGGAGAGGGAAGCGGAAUUCCCGGUGUAGUGGUGAAAUGCGUAGAUAUCGGGAGGAACACCAGUGGCGAAGGCGGCUUCCUGGCCUGUUCUUGACGCUGAGGCGCGAAAGCUAGGGUAGCAAACGGGAUUAGAUACCCCGGUAGUCCUAGCCGUAAACGAUGGACACUAGGUGUUGGUGGUAUCAACCCGCCAGUGCCGUAGCUAACGCAUUAAGUGUCCCGCCUGGGGAGUACGGCCGCAAGGCUA
rnacentral:rRNA from 1 species